AUUGAACGCUGGCGGCAGGCCUAACACAUGCAAGUCGAACGAGUGGCGGACGGGUGAGUAAUGUCUGGGAAACUGCCUGAUGGAGGGGGAUAACUACUGGAAACGGUAGCUAAUACCGCCUACCAUCGGAUGUGCCCCGCUGGGAUUGUCUAGUUGGUGGGGUAAAGGCUCACCUAGGCGACGAUCCCUAGCGGGUCUGAGAGGAUGACCAGCCACACUGGAACUGAGACACGGUCCAGACUCCUACGGGAGGCAGCAGUGGGGAAUAUUGCACAAUGGGCGCAAGCCUGAUGCAGCCAUGCCGCGUGUAUGAAGAAGGUCUUCGGAUUGUAAAGCACUUUAAGUUGGGAGGCGUUACCAACAGAAUAAGCACCGGCUAACUUCGUGCCAGCAGCCGCGGUAAUUC
rnacentral:rRNA from 1 species